rnacentral:tRNA from 1 species
GUCGGGAUAGCUCAGCUGGUAGAGCAGAGCACUGAAAA